CAUUUCUGUCUAUUCUUGACUUUGAGAGAAGGGCGUAUCCCCGGAAGUCUCCCAGGGAGUCUCUCCUCGCUCACGAGUAAGCUCGCAACUUUCAGGCAAAAUGAAAUAGGCCAAUGGAAUCUAUUGCAAAUUGUGAAAAAUCAAGGCCGCAAUCGGCAAGCAAAAGGAAACACUGAGAGAAUUUGUUCACAUCGGGCCCGAAAUGACAAAGCUGAUUUUCGUGUAGGAUCGAUAACCAAUGUAUAUGUAAUGAAUAAUAAAACACCAUCUCCACCAACUCUCUACAAA